AUCUGGAAGUCUGUUUUUGAGGCUUGUUUAUGUGUCUUCUCAUUUCCAUGGCGGGGGGGUGCUUCUGGUGCUCACGAGGCUCACCUUCUCUGCCCUAGGAGCUUGGGAUGGCAGCAGGGGAGCUCCCUUCCGGGUGCUGAGACCGGCUGAGCUUCACUGCCCUAGGAGUCUGGGAUGACCAAAGACAUUGUCAAGAAGACCUUUGCAAUAACAGAGGGACACAAGGAAGGAAUAUUUCUGGGUUCCAAUCAAAGAAGACACAGAGAGAUCGUCCCACCACAUUUCUGGUAUGUUUCAUUGCUUGGUUUCUAAUUCUUCUUUGGCUUCUUCAUCAAUUUAUUUUCUUCAAUUUUCU
rnacentral:lncRNA from 1 species